rnacentral:rRNA from 1 species
ACGAACGCUGGCGGCGUGCUUAACACAUGCAAGUCGCACGGAAAGGCCCUGCUUUUGUGGGGUGCUCGAGUGGCGAACGGGUGAGUAACACGUGAGUAACCUGCCCUUGACUUUGGGAUAACUUCAGGAAACUGGGGCUAAUACCGGAUAGGAGCUCCUGCUGCAUGGUGGGGGUUGGAAAGUUUCGGCGGUUGGGGAUGGACUCGCGGCUUAUCAGCUUGUUGGUGGGGUAGUGGCUUACCAAGGCUUUGACGGGUAGCCGGCCUGAGAGGGUGACCGGCCACAUUGGGACUGAGAUACGGCCCAGACUCCUACGGGAGGCAGCAGUGGGGAAUAUUGCACAAUGGGCGGAAGCCUGAUGCAGCAACGCCGCGUGCGGGAUGACGGCCUUCGGGUUGUAAACCGCUUUCGCCUGUGACGAAGCGUGAGUGACGGUAAUGGGUAAAGAAGCACCGGCUAACUACAUG